UACGGGGGAUGCAAGCGUUAUCCGGAUUUAUUGGGUUUAAAGGGUGCGUAGGCUGUGAGGUAAGUCAGCGGUGAAAUGCCCCCGCUCAACGGGGUGAAGUGCCAUUGAUACUGCCUUGCUGGAAUGCGGAUGCCGUGGGAGGAAUGUGUGGUGUAGCGGUGAAAUGCAUAGAUAUCACACAGAACACCGAUUGGGAAGGCAUCUCACGAAUCCGCGAUUGACGCUGAUGCACGAAAGCGUGGGUAUCAAACAGG
rnacentral:rRNA from 1 species